rnacentral:rRNA from 1 species
UACGUAGGGGGCUAGCGUUGUCCGGAAUCAUUGGGCGUAAAGAGCGUGUAGGCGGCUCGAUAAGUCCGCUGUGAAAGUCCAGGGCUCAACCCUGGGAUGCCGGUGGAUACUGUCGGGCUCGAGUCCGGAAGAGGCGAGUGGAAUUCCUGGUGUAGCGGUGAAAUGCGCAGAUAUCAGGAGGAACACCAAUGGCGAAGGCAGCUCGCUGGGACGUGACUGACGCUGAGACGCGAAAGCGUGGGGGAGCGAACAGG